rnacentral:rRNA from 1 species
UACGUAGGUGGCAAGCGUUGUCCGGAUUUACUGGGCGUAAAGAGCGCGCAGGCGGUCGGAUAAGUCGAAUGUGAAAGCCCCCGGCUCAACUGGGGAGGGUCAUUCGAUACUGUUCGACUCGAAGGCAGGAGAGGGAAGUGGAAUUCCCGGUGUAGUGGUGAAAUGCGCAGAUAUCAGGAGGAACACCGGUGGCGAAGGCGGGUCUCUGGGACAGUUCCUGACGCUGAGGCACGAAGGUCAGGGGAGCAAACGGG